GAUGAACGCUGGCGGCGUGCCUAAUACAUGCAAGUCGAGCGAACGGACGAGAAGCUUGCUUCUCUGAUGUUAGCGGCGGACGGGUGAGUAACACGUGGAUAACCUACCUAUAAGACUGGGAUAACUUCGGGAAACCGGAGCUAAUACCGGAUGAUAUUUUGAACCGCAUGGUUCAAAAGUGAAAGACGGUCUUGCUGUCACUUAUAGAUGGAUCCGCGCUGCAUUAGCUAGUUGGUAAGGUAACGGCUUACCAAGGCAACGAUGCAUAGCCGACCUGAGAGGGUGAUCGGCCACACUGGAACUGAGACACGGUCCAGACUCCUACGGGAGGCAGCAGUAGGGAAUCUUCCGCAAUGGGCGAAAGCCUGACGGAGCAACGCCGCGUGAGUGAUGAAGGUUUUCGGAUCGUAAAACUCUGUUAUUAGGGAAGAACAUAUGUGUAAGUAACUGUGCACAUCUUGACGGUACCUAAUCAGAAAGCCACGGCUAACUACGUG
rnacentral:rRNA from 1 species